ACGGGUGAGUAACACGUGGGUAACCUACCCUCGAGUGGGGAAUAACCCAGGGAAACUUGGGCUAAUACCGCAUAACAUCAUUCUCUCUCUGGAGAGUUUGAAUAAAGGUGGGGAUCGCAAGACCUACCGCUUGAGGAGGGGCCCGCGCCUGAUUAGCUUGUUGGUGGGGUAAAGGCCUACCAAGGCUUCGAUCAGUAGCCGGCCUGAGAGGGUGAACGGCCACACUGGAACUGAGACACGGUCCAG
rnacentral:rRNA from 1 species